rnacentral:rRNA from 1 species
UUACUGGGCGUAAAGCGUGCGUAGGCGGUCGAGUAAGUCGGAUGUGAAAGCCCGGGGCCCAACCCCGGAAUUGCGUCCGAAACUGCCCGACUUGAGUGCAGGAUGGGAGAGGGGAAUUCAUGGAGUAGCGGUGAAAUGCGUUGAUAUCAUGAAGAACACCGGUGGCGAAGGCGCCUCUCUGGAAUGCAACUGACGCUGGAGCACGAAAGCAUGGGGAGCGAACAGGAUUAGAUACCCUGGUAGUCCAUGCCGUAAACGGUGCGCACUUGGUGUUGGAAGGGUCAGCCCUUUCAGUGCCGGAGCUAACGCGUUAAGUGCGCCGCCUGGGGAGUACGGCCGCAAGGCUAAAACUCAAAGAAAUUGACGGGGGCCCGCACAAGCGGAGGAGCAUGUGGCUUAAUUCGAUGCAACGCGAAGAACCUUACCCAGGCUUGAUAUAUAACUGCAAGUCCUGUGAAAGCAGGAUUCCUUCGAGGGUGUUAUACAGGUGCUGCAUGGCUGUCGUCAGUUCGUGCCGUGAGGUGUUUGGUUAAGUCCAGCAACGAACGCAACCCCUGUGUCCAGUUGCCAUCAGGUAAUGCUGGGAACUCUGGACAGACUGCCUGUGCAAUCAGGAGGAAGGUGGGGACGACGUCAAGUCAGUAUGGCCCUUACGCCUGGGGCUGCACACGUGCUACAAUGGCCGGUACAGAAGGAUGCAACACCGCGAGGUUGAGCAAAUCCCCAAAGCCGGCCCCAGUUCGGAUUGAAGUCUGCAACUCGACUUCAUGAAGUUGGAUUCGCUAGUAACGGCGUAUCAGCUACGACGCCGUGAUACGUUCCCGGGCCUUGUACACACCGCCCGUCACAUCAUGAAAGCCGUCUGCACCCGAAGUCGUUGACCCAACCCGCAAGGGAGGGAGGCGCCGAAGGUGUGGGUGGUGAUUGGGAUGAAGUCG